UUGUUAGUGUUAUAUCCUGCAUUUUCGAACGUCGAAUUAUUUGUAAGCUGAGGUGGGGCCCACACAUCAAUAUUUUUUUUGGGACAUGUGAAAAGUUAUAUGAAUCGUAUAUGUAAAGUUAAACACAACCCGUGAAGGGCCCUGGAGCCAAAUCAAAGUGGAAGCCCUCCAAACGAAUAUUUUUAAGAAAACGUUUUCGGAUGACCUGACUUGGAGGGGCAAAAACGGCAUUAUAAGUUUAGAAUUUGGGAAAAUGCCCAGAGAUAAAAGUUGUAGAUAAUUGAAAUAGCUUUCCAACGGUAGGUCGUGGGCUCCCAGGCGACGUCGGUACAAGGAGAUAUGGACAUUUUAAGGCGGAAAGGUCAAGCUGGGCAGUGAAAUGGGCCCAACCCGAUUCCAAUCCGGGUCAGGCCCAUUUCCUUAUUAUUUAAGGGAGUUUUCAGCCUCCUCCUCCACAUUUCAGAUCAGAAAAGAUCCAAAAAAUUCCAUUAGAGAGAGAGAGAGAAAACUUCAAGGCUAAGAAGAUCAUUUUGAUCAAAAUCCGAGCUCCGAAUCCCGAAGCUCAUGAAGAGAAAAACGUUGUACGUUGCGUUGCCUUCAAUUUGAGAUAAAUAUUAGUCUUGGGGGAUGAAAUUUUCGUGGUGGAUCUUCUGAUAAGAUUUUGGACGAGAUUGGGAUCGACGCCAAGCGAGCGUAAGGCGCUAUCGAGGUACAGGCGCACUCGGUGACACGCCGCCAGUCUAGGGCACAGGUUCUGCUAUCUUGAAGAGCUCCUUUUGAUUCGGAGCAUGUACUUUGGUAUAUAUAUCUUUUGUUUUCCGUAUGUUCUGUAUGUAUGGAAGUUCUGGGUACGGCGGGGCCCUGUCCCGUCAUAUGAUUCUGUAUGUCUGUAGAGGCCUGUAGAUAGAUGUGUGGGUUACGGGUUUCGUCUGUAUGUUAGCCUUAUCGGCUUAUCUGUAAAUGUCUGCAUGUUCAGGUAUAUAUAUAUGUUUGCGCGCGUGCCGUAUCUGUAUCGGCCUACUUCUGUAAUAUCCGUUUGAAAAAAAAAAAAUCUGUACGAUACGAAAUUCGGUCAGGUAGGUAUGUACGGGUACCCAGCUAGGGUGCCAGUCGCGGCCCACGGGGUUGGGUCGUGACAGUUAGUGAAUAAGAGCAUAUUUAGACUAAUUUUGUAACGAUGGGAGCAUAUUUUAUCUCAACUAUUGACGGAUUACAUACUUGGGUCAGUACCA